rnacentral:lncRNA from 1 species
UUUAUAAUGCUUUUGGGAGGUAGGAAGAAGCUGAAUACAGUGAGAACGUGCAAGCUCCGCUCAGAAGGCAAAGCAUAACAGAAUCAAACCCAGGGCCUCUGUGAUGAGGCAGCACAGCAAACUACCAAACCAAAAUCUUCUCACUGCGUUACUGUUGAAAUUGUUCUCACUUUUGUGGAACACUGACCGGAUCACGACGGCAUCAUUUUGACAAAGAGCUUUGAGAGGCUUCUUCGAAUGGAAUGAUUAUCUAAACACAUAGAUCUAGACCACUGGGCCCAGUAACACAUAUCAAGAUGUAUCAAGAUGUGGUAGGAGACAAGCGGCGUAUUAUAUAAAGGCUCCCUUUCCAUGCUUGUGUAGGUUUUCUGUUCAAGUUCCGGCUUGGAAUUCUGCACAGAUUCUAUUCAAAACAGCUGUUGUUACUUCAGUUGCUCAUUUGAAAGCAUCUUUCUCUCAUUCCUCCUUCCACAGAUCACCUUUGAUGCUUUGUUCAUCAGGUUACUAAUCCCUUCUGCCACUGAAGAGCUGAGCCCUGCUCCUCCGGAAUCGAAGACUCACUCUUGCCAAACAUAUGCGCCGAAUUGGUCACCGCCGUCCGAGCUUUUCAUGACUUGCCUCUCCCCUCCGCACUUGUUUUCGGUUUAUUGAGACUGAUCUCGCACGAUAAAGAAGCACCGGCGUGCUACAGGCUCUGUGACCAGUCCCCAAAGCGUAGCACAGGUGAGUGCCGCGCCAGAUUUGAAAUGUCCUUCUUUAUUUGAAUUUUCUUUCUUUUUUUUCGUCGCCGAUUCGCGUAAAAAUAUUCUGACAUUCCUAACACCCCAACCACCCUUAACCAGUCUAUUGUAUUUCAUCUCUUUCUGUGGUCUCCUGGUGUCACAACAGAAACAACUGGUGAUAACUAACUUAGUGGGUAUAUAAAAAUAUAUAAUGGCAAUAUUUAGGACUGAUUCGCUUUUGAAUAGCCCAAACUGAACAAACCCAGCAGUCCAGUUGUCCUCCUCUCAUUUUAACUCUUUUAUUCCCUGUCAC